UCAUCAUUCUACAGUUUUGUUUAUAUAGGGUUACUCUGCUGCUUCUGUAGACUUCAGUUUACUUGCUGCAAUCUUUGCGGCGGUGAAACAAGGACCAAGGUAACGAAAUAUUAUGCAUCGGCCCCGAGCAAGCAUUCUAUGUUUUCUGGGCUUACUUUUUCUUCUGUGCACAUUUGAACAAGGGCCAUCGUACGUGUUCGCGGGAACCGCCAAACCGAGAAAGGAUCCUCUUUUCUACUUUCGGGAGGGCUCGGGAGGCACAAGAACGCCGAAAUUUUCUCCAGCUCUUCCAACAAUUCCUGAAGGUGGAAGUGCUCGGCCAAGACCGGGUGGGAGGGAACAGCUCAGGCGAAAUCCACAUCUCCGAGGAAGUGGACCCCCGCCUUUUACUCAUUUCUU